rnacentral:rRNA from 1 species
AGUGAACGCUGGCGGUAGGCCUAACACAUGCAAAUCGAACGGCAGCACAGGAGAGCUUGCUCUCUGGGUGGCGAGUGGCGGACGGGUGAGGAAUACAUCGGAAUCUACCUUUUCGUGGGGGAUAACGUAGGGAAACUUACGCUAAUACCGCAUACGACCUACGGGUGAAAGUGGGGGACCGCAAGGCCUCACGCGAUUAGAUGAGCCGAUGUCCGAUUAGCUAGUUGGCGGGGUAAUGGCCCACCAAGGCGACGAUCGGUAGCUGGUCUGAGAGGAUGAUCAGCCACACUGGAACUGAGACACGGUCCAGACUCCUACGGGAGGCAGCAGUGGGGAAUAUUGGACAAAGGGCGCAAGCCUGAUCCAGCCAUACCGCGUGGGUGAAGAAGGCCUUCGGGUUGUAAAGCCCUUUUGUUGGGAAAGAAAUCCUGUCGAUUAAUACUCGGUGGGGAUGACGGUACCCAAAGAAUAAGCACCGGCUAACUUCGUG